rnacentral:rRNA from 1 species
GACAGAGGGGGCAAGCGUUGCUCGGAAUUACUGGGCGUAAAGGGCGCGUAGGCGGGAUGGCAAGUCGGUCGUGAAAUCCCUCGGCUCAACCGAGGAACGUCGAUCGAUACUGCUGUUCUUGAGGAUUGCAGAGGAGACUGGAAUUCCCGGUGUAGCGGUGAAAUGUGUAGAGAUCGGGAGGAACACCGGUGGCGAAGGCGGGUCUCUGGGCAAUUCCUGACGCUGAGGCGCGAAAGCGUGGGAGCAAACGGG